ensembl:lncRNA
CAACAGCCAUGCCACAGAGGUGCUGGCUAGGAUCAUGUCCUUGAUGACUGGGGCAGUGCAAGAACAUGGAAGGAGAAAGAUGGCAUCUACCCUGAACUGGUUCUCACUCCGUAUUUUGGAGCCAGGCACCCAAAGUUUUGUUUAGAGCAGGGAAAUAGGAAGACAAACAGACUAGAGGUAGGCUGCGCUCCUCCUUCAGAGCUUUGCUCUGUUCCGGAAUAUCUGACUGCAGGCAACUAAAACUGGCCUUUUGCUCUUUGGCACUGUUUUUUGCUUUAUAUUCUUAUCCGGGUAACUGGUAACUGAGCACACUACGAAAGUUCCUGCCCUCCCUACCCACCUCUUUCAAGUAUGGCAAUUCACUCAAAGGCCAGGUCUGGAUCCUCACUCAGGAUAGGUCACUGCUUCCAGGAAAUUCAUUACUUCCAUCAAAGCUGCCCUGGUAGCAAGUUUAAUGAAUGAACGAUGCCCCGAGGAGAAAGAAGAGGAGCACAGUAUCACUCAGACAAGCGAAAGUUUGGCAUACAGUGCCCACCCCACCCUGCUGGCUGAAACACCAGUCCCCUCCUAGGGGUGCAAGGAUCCUCCUGCAUGCUCUGCACCUCCUUCUGACUGGCAGGCUAUGGCUUUCUCUUCUCCGGGGCUUCCUAAACAGCAGGAUGCUGGUGCCUCCACUUCUCCAGGGGACACCUUCCCAGGCUGCACCUCCUCCGGAGACACAAGGCAGAAUCUGGCUCUUCCCUUCACCGAAGCUGAGAUCAAACAGCAGCUUUACCACAUCACAAGUUACAAUUAAGGCUACUCCUGGUAAAAGAUGCUCUUUCCCUCACUAAAUCCUAAAGCAUUUCUCUUGGCAUUUCUCUUGCUAUUGUCUGUAUCCAGCCCUGUGUUUAUGAGAUUAGCCUCAAAUUAGGACAGUUUCCUCAUUCUUCCUUCUCUCUUACUACAGGCUCUGGUUCCUGGGAAUCUGAUCCUAUCUUCCACAGAGGUUACUCCCUGUUGAUAGGGAAUAUCUAGUGUAUGUGGGCAGGAAAGCGCCAACAGAGGAUAAUGAGGAUUAAGAGAGAGUCCUUGUUAUAAUAUAUCUUCACAGCAGAUCAGAAGAUUCAGUGGGCCAUUUGAUCAACAGAGACAUUAGGAACCUGUCUCUCACUUAUGCUCCCACACAGUGUCUCACCCCACUGUGGCAUGGGUUAAAGUAGCACACGGGGUCUCUGAGGGCAGGAUGAGUCCCCCAGGCACAUCCAGCUACAUCCCUGUGUUGUCCAGUUCUCCUUAACCAGAAGCAUGGUGCUUAAGAAGUGAUGGAAAAGGACAGGUAGGUGAAAGAGAAUGUUUUUGGAAUUGGUUUCUUGCCUACAGCAUUCUUCACAAGGAGGAGCAGGUUUAUUGAUCAGUGCAAUACCUUCCAUCACCAAAGGAAACUGUUCAUUUAUGAGUGACUGAGGCUAAUGGAGAACAAAAUCUUCAGGGCGUUUCUGCUGAUGAAAAGCCCCUCUCCUCACUUUGGCUGUCCUACGCUCAGCACACAUUGCCUUCAGGCAGAUGUACAUUGCUGCUUCCCAGCUAUUGCAAUGUCCCUUUGAGAGCAGAUGUACAAUAACCUUAGGAGUUUUUCUGCUCCAGCCAUGCACUUUGGCAGCUCUCUUCACUAAACUGAGAAAGAAAGAGCAAUAUCUCCAGUCUCCAUAAAACCUCCUUACACAUACACAAUCACAGUGCGCCACAAGAAGGGCUCCCUUCUUCACAUGGCUUACUCUAGGUCAGUAUUUUCCUGGAAGAGCAGGGGAAUCAGAGCCACUAACCCUAGUCAGACCAAAGCUCCAUCCUGUC